rnacentral:rRNA from 1 species
GAUGAACGCUAGCUACAGGCUUAACACAUGCAAGUCGAGGGGCAGCAUGGAAGUUUGCUUGCAAACUUCCGAUGGCGACCGGCGCACGGGUGAGUAACACGUAUCCAACCUGCCGAUAACUCGGGGAUAGCCUUUCGAAAGAAAGAUUAAUAUCCGAUAGCAUAUCAAGGUCGCAUGAUCCUGAUAUUAAAGAAUUUCGGUCAUCGAUGGGGAUGCGUUCCAUUAGCUUGUUGGCGGGGUAACGGCCCACCAAGGCAUCGAUGGAUAGGGGUUCUGAGAGGAAGGUCCCCCACAUUGGAACUGAGACACGGUCCAA